rnacentral:rRNA from 1 species
AGCCACAGCCAUAUCACCCUGCAGCCCAAGACUGGUUGCCCACUGAAGCUAAGCAGGGUUGAGCCUUCAUGUGUUUUUGUGGUUG